CAAGAAUGGCAGCCAAUUUCUGGACUUCUUCUCACUACAAGCAGCUUUUGGACCCGGAAGAGGUAGAUGUGCUGCAGCCGCUGGACAAAGACAAGGGCGUAACUCUUGAAGAUUUCAAGCUUAUUAAGAUGCAUAUGGCCAAUUACAUAUGCAAAUUGGCUCAUCAUGUUAAAGUUAGGCAAAGGGUUGUGGCCACUGCAGUUACAUACAUGAGACGUGUAUAUACCAGAAAGAGUAUGUCAGAAUAUGAUCCGCGACUAGUAGCUCCAACCUGCUUGUACUUGGCAGCAAAAGCUGAAGAAAGCACUGUUCAGGCCAGACUUCUUGUUUUUUACAUAAAAAAAUUCUAUGCUGAUGAAAAGUACAGGUAUGAAAUCAAAGACAUACUGGAGAUGGAAAUGAAGAUUUUGGAAGCUCUUAACUAUUACCUGGUUGUCUUCCAUCCUUAUCGUUCAUUGUCUCAGUUGUUGCAGGAUGCUGGCAUUAAUGACAUCAAUAUGAUUCAAUUUUCUUGGGGACUUGUAAAUGACACCUGCAAGAUGGACCUAAUUCUUAUACACCCUCCACAUCUAAUUGCUUUAGCUUGCAUAUACAUUGCUAGUGUGCAUAAAGACAAGGAUAUAACAGCAUGGUUUGAGGAGCUUCGUGUUGAUAUGAAUGUGGUGAAAAAUAUUUCAAUGGAGAUACUAGAUUUCUAUGAAGGCCAGAGACUGAUCACAGAUGAUAGAGUUAACACUGCCUUCAGCAAACUAGCAUUGAAGCCCUAAAUACUUUGGUCACUUGGAAAUAAUCCUGCCCUACAUUUAAUCCAAUAUAAACAAGGCAUGGGAUCGAUCCAAGCGAAAUCUUCAACCAGAGUAAACCUGCUUGCUCUUUUGGAAGAAAUUUGUUAGGAUGGCUGUGUGUAGGCAGUAGACAUCUUUUGCAGGAUUGCUAAGGUUCAAGUACUGUACUCGUCCGUUUACACCCAUGUUUAAGCAUAAGAAUUAUGGCAUUGUUUUCACUGAGAGAUUGAAAACUGAUAGCUAGCAUAGCAAGCUUGCAUCGAUGGAGCUCGCUAGCUCUGACUAGUUUUCGAAGAGUCAGAUGAUAACAUUGUAAACUUAUAAUUCUAAACUUGAAGAUAACAAUGUUAUCAUCUGACUCUCCGAAAAC
rnacentral:misc_RNA from 1 species